rnacentral:sRNA from 1 species
CUACAAGCAAAAGGAUCACUCGGCCAGGAAAUACUGAUGAUCCAUCAGGAGGCAACAAAGUUCUUCUGCUCUCAAUUCAGAAUCCACUUUAUCCAAUUACAGUGGAUGUUUUAUAUACGGUAUGCAACCCUGUUGGCAAAGUGCAACGUAUUGUUAUAUUCAAGAGAAAUGGGAUACAAGCAAUGGUUGAGUUUGAAUCAGUCCUUUGUGCCCAGAAAGCUAAAGCAGCACUCAAUGGAGCUGACAUAUACGCUGGAUGUUGCACACUAAAAAUUGAAUAUGCACGGGUAAAUAUUUUUUUCAACACCCUACCCAAGAAAUAUUUAUGCUUUGGAUAUACAGUUUGAACUUACAUUAUUUUCAAUCUUAACAGCCAACUCGUCUAAAUGUUAUUAGGAAUGACAAUGACAGUUGGGACUACACUAAACCAUAUUUGGGAAGACGAGGUAGGUAUUUUAUACAUUUUAGAAUGUACUUGAUCUGCUGACAAAUUUUUAUAUGCAGUUAGAUUCUUUUUUCCUGAGACGAGCUAGUUAAUUCAAAU